GAUGAACGCUGGCGGCGUGCCUAAUACAUGCAAGUCGAGCGAACAGAUGAGGAGCUUGCUCCUCUGACGUUAGCGGCGGACGGGUGAGUAACACGUGGAUAACCUACCUAUAAGACUGGGAUAACUUCGGGAAACCGGAGCUAAUACCGGAUAAUAUAUUGAACCGCAUGGUUCAAUAGUGAAAGACGGUUUUGCUGUCACUUAUAGAUGGAUCCGCGCCGCAUUAGCUAGUUGGUAAGGUAACGGCUUACCAAGGCGACGAUGCGUAGCCGACCUGAGAGGGUGAUCGGCCACACUGGAACUGAGACACGGUCCAGACUCCUACGGGAGGCAGCAGUAGGGAAUCUUCCGCAAUGGGCGAAAGCCUGACGGAGCAACGCCGCGUGAGUGAUGAAGGUCUUCGGAUCGUAAAACUCUGUUAUUAGGGAAGAACAACUGUGUAAGUAACUAUGCACGUCUUGACGGUACCUAAUCAGAAAGCCACGGCUAACUACGUG
rnacentral:rRNA from 1 species